UACAGAUGUCCCGAGCGUUGUUCGGAUUCACUGGGCGUAAAGGGUGUGUAGGAGGCAUGGCAAGUCAGCUGUGAAAUCUCCAGGCUCAACCUGGAAAUUGCAGCCGAUACUGCCAAGCUAGAGGAUCGGAAGGGCAAGCGGAAUUCUCGGUGUAGCAGUGAAAUGCGUAGAUAUCGAGAGGAACACCGGUGGCGAAGGCGGCUUGCUGGACGAUUCCUGACUCUGAAACACGAAAGCUAGGGGAGCGAACGGG
rnacentral:misc_RNA from 1 species